rnacentral:rRNA from 1 species
GAUGAACGCUGGCGGCGUGCCUAAUACAUGCAAGUCGAGCGAACAGACGAGGAGCUUGCUCCUCUGACGUUAGCGGCGGACAGGUGAGUAACACGUGGAUAACCUACCUAUAAGACUGGGAUAACUUCGGGAAACCGGAGCUAAUACCGGAUAAUAUAUUGAACCGCAUGGUUCAAUAGUGAAAGACGGUUUUGCUGUCACUUAUAGAUGGAUCCGCGCCGCAUUAGCUAGUUGGUAAGGUAACGGCUUACCAAGGCAACGAUGCGUAGCCGACCUGAGAGGGUGAUCGACCACACUGGAACGGAGACACGGUCCAGACUCCUACGGGAGGCAGCAGUAGGGAAUCUUCCGCAAUGGGCGAAAGCCGGACGGAGCAACGCCGCGUGAGUGAUGAAGGUCUUCGGAUCGUAAAACUCUGUUAUUAGGGAAGAACAAAUGUGUAAGUAACUAUGCACGUCUUGACGGUACCUAAUCAGAAAGCCACGGCUAACUACGUG